rnacentral:rRNA from 1 species
GUCCUUUAGAUAAGAAUUUAAGGUCUAACCUGCCCAUUGAGGAAUUAAAAGGCCGCAGUAUUUUGACUGUGCAAAGGUAGCAUAAUCAUUAGUUUUUUAAUUGAAAGCUUGUAUGAAUGGUUGGACGAGAUAUAGACUGUCUUUAAGUUAUAAGUAGAAUUUAAUUUUUAAGUUAAAAAGCUUAAAUAAUUUUAAAAGACGAUAAGACCCUAUAGAUCUUAAUAUUUAUAUUUUAUAUAAAAUUUUUGGAUUAAUAGUUUUUAUAUAAUUUUGUGUAUUUUAUUGGGGUAAUAAAAAGAUUUAAUAAAUUCUUUUUUUAUUAACAUUGAUGAUUGAGUUUUAUGAUCCAUUAUUAUUGAUUAAAAGAUUAAGUUACCUUAGGGAUAACAGCGUAAUUUUUUUAGAGAGUUCUUAUCGAUAAAAAAGUUUGCGACCUCGAUGUUGGAUUAAAAUUAAUUUUAGGUGUAGAAGUUUAAAGUUUUAGUCUGUUCGACUAUUAAAAUUUUACA